ACCCCAGCCCAGACGAGGGAACAUGUCGAGUUUAAGCAUAUCAAUAAGCGGAGGAAAAG
rnacentral:rRNA from 1 species